rnacentral:misc_RNA from 1 species
AAGUCGUAACAAGGUUUCCGUAGGUGAACCUGCGGAAGGAUCAUUACAGUUUGUGCCUGCGCUUAAUUGCGCGGUAACUAUCACACAGUGUUUUUUUACUAAGAAACUUUCUUUGCCGGGCAAACCUUUGGGUGCGCACGGCAGAGGUAACUUCAAUAUAAAUUUUAUUAAUUUUAAUUGUCAGUUGAUUUAUAAUCUUCAAAACUUUCAACAACGGAUCUCUUGGUUCUC